UUCCUUAUAGCUCAGUCGGUAAAGAAUCUGCCUGCAAUGCAGGAGAUUCAGGUUUGAUUCCUGGGUUGGGAA
rnacentral:tRNA from 1 species